CCGAAGCAACCCAAGAGCCAACACGCGCGCAACCCCCGACCCCCGGAAGGGACGCACCCACCAGACAAAAACCGACCGGGCUCGCCCGUCCUCCGGUGACUCAUGAUAACCCCACGAAUCGCAUGGCCUUGGUGCCGGCGAUGCUUCAUUCAAAUCUCUGCCCUAUCAACUCUCGAUGGUAAGGUAGUGGCUUACCAUGGUGGUAACGGGUGACGGAGGAUUAGGGUUCGAUUCCGGAGAGGGAGCCUGAGAAACGGCUACCACAUCCAAGGAAGGCAGCAGGCGCGCAAAUUACCCAAUCCUGAUACAGGGAGGUAGUGACAAUAAAUAACUAUACCGGGCUCUUUCGAGUCUGGUGAUGGGAAUGAGUACAACGUAAAACCCUUAACGAGGAUCCAUUGGAGGG
rnacentral:rRNA from 1 species